rnacentral:rRNA from 1 species
GUGAGGAAUAUUGGUCAAUGGGCGGGAGCCUGAACCAGCCAAGUCGCGUGAAGGAAGAAGGAUCUAUGGUUCGUAAACUUCUUUUGCAGGGGAAUAAAGUGCAGGACGUGUCCUGUUUUGUAUGUACCCUGAGAAUAAGGAUCGGCUAACUCCGUGCCAGCAGCCGCGGUAAUACGGAGGAUCCGAGCGUUAUCCGGAUUUAUUGGGUUUAAAGGGUGCGUAGGUGGUUUGAUAAGUCAGCGGUGAAAGUUUGCAGCUUAACUGUAAAAUUGCCGUUGAAACUGUCGGUCUUGAGUGCAAAUGAGGUAGGCGGAAUGUGUUGUGUAGCGGUGAAAUGCUUAGAUAUCACGCAGAACUCCGAUUGCGAAGGCAGCUUACUAAGCUACAACUGACACUGAAGCACGAAAGCGUGGGGAUCAAACAGGAUUAGAAACCCCAGUAGUCC